UAAAAAUUGGCCCUCAGAGAAAUCAAUAUAGCAGAGACACCGAAAAAGAAAGAAUACAAAGAAAAUCUAGAGGAGAAAGAAAUAAAAGCAUUAUCGAUUGUAGUAGUCAUUAAAAGAUCCAAGCCACUAAAGAAAGAACCAUUUUAGGAAACAAGCCAUUGAAGAAAGAUCAUUUUUAGAAACUUUUUCUAAAUCAUAAAGGAUUUUCCAAAGUCAGAUCCAGCUCUAGAUUCCUAUCCAAUCUUUUACUCAACUACUUCCUCAUCGUCCGAGACUCGCAGAUCCAAUAUAUAUGGUGACAACUUGAGAAUUUCUUCCACCAUACAUCUGCAUCCAUCACAAAAUACUGGUUCUUUCAUUCUUUUUUGUAUUUUAUUUGUUUUCUAUUAUUAUUUGUUCUUAGAAGCAUGAUUAAGAUUUUUAUCUUUGAUAAACAUUAUUAGAUUAGAUUGUCAUUAAUAUGCAUAACAACAAAAUUUUUAAUUUGAUAUUAAGAACUAGGAUUUUCAUAUCUGAUAUUUUUGCCAAUUGGGUGUUAGGUUGAUUAAAACACAUGUUAUAGGGUUAAUAUUUAAGUCUUUGUCAAUAUGAUUUAGUAAUUAAGUCUAAAUAAAAUAUGAUUCUUUGCUUUGAUAAUCUUCUGUCAGUUUAUAGGAUUUUAGAAUUUUUAGUGAUUUAUAUUUUUUAGCUUCUGUAAUUUUUAUUUGUUAUUUUUUAUCUAUUUUAUCUCAUUUUAAUUAAUCCUUAACACCUUUGCAUGUGAAAAUCGGCGCUAAGUGUGAGAUUGAACUGGUAAACAAAGGAGAAUCGAUAGGAAUGUGCCCCUUGGACUCUAGAGCCGAUUGGCUCAAUAUAGAGCCAAUCGGCUCUUCAUGCUGGACCAUUUAUUUUUUGCUUUUUUAGCGUAUUUCAAUGUAUUCUCAGCCUCUAUAUAGUUUUAGGUCUUUCCAGUUUUGCAAUCAUAGUUAUAAUAGGUUGUAAUAGCUAGGAUUUUCUUUUGUACUUUAUUUUCUUUAUUUUUUGUUUUGUUGUUUAUUGUAUGUUAACCCAAUACAUGAUUAAAUGACUGAUUAAUAAAAAUGAUCAUAUAAACUUAGGACUAAAAACUAAUCUAAUACGAAUUUGAUAGUCUAAUAGGCUAAUCCACUUCAACUUGGCUUAAACCCUAAAAUCCAUUUAGACUAGCGGGCUUUGGCAUGUUUAGUUAAGGUUUAAACUUAGUUAGGGUUUAGAUCAUAAUAAAUGGGCAAUCUCAUAACAAGUAGUCCAAUAGGCUUAAAAGAUGGAAUCUGAAGAGCAUAACAUAUAAUUGAAACUAGAAUAGAAUGGCUUUAUACAUAAUUGCUCAGUAAAUUAGAUUAAUAAUUUAAAUAUGGUCUCGGUUUAAAUAAGACUUAGGUGUAUUGUGUCUUAUUUUGGCAUGUAUAUGUAUGAAUUGCUUGCAUUUGUAGAAAAUAUUUUGUUAAACAAUAAAUGUAAAUACUAAUAUACACAAAUAAGGAAGUUGACUUUUGGAUCUAUCUCUAGACUCUAUGGUGUAAGCUUCCUUAUGAAAUUUGAGAAAUGCCACUUAUUAGUAAAAAUAUCCUGGUGAUUACUCGGGUGGCGACUCCUAUCUCCGUGCUAGUCUCAGUGACUAGUUAGCAUGUUUCCGAUUAGGUUGAAAAGUCUUACAGUGCCUUAGUCGCUAAAGACACUUGGGUGCAUGCCCGAAACCGCCGCCCACAAUAAGCUACAUUCAUUAAGCAAUAGACGACCAAACCUCCAUUAAUUUACAUACAUUCAUUAAAAGUAGAGGCUUUAGGAAAAAGAAAGAGGAAGUCACUAAGAAAGAUCUUCAUAUUUGGAAAUCCUUCUUUGAAUGACAUAAGACUUUCAAAAUUCAAGCAAUACUAGAUUCUCAAUGAAUCUUCCAUUCCACCACCUCAUCUCUCUAGUCACUCGAAGAUUAGCACUCUACGGUGACAACCUGUGGGUUCCCUAAAUCCAACAUCGUUGUCAUCUCCAUCUCCUUAAAAUUGGUUCGUUUACUUUAUGUUUUAAAAACAUGAUUAGGAUAAUUUUCUUUAAUGAUUUUAUAUGAUUCACAUGAUUUUCAUGAUUAUAUUUAGGUUUUUAUGAAUCAAUAUAUUUUUCAUUAUACUAGAUAUUAGAUCUGACAACAUUCAUUGUGUUAGGAAUUGAAUAUGAUAAUAUGCAAUAUGAUGGAUUUUGUAUCUGAUGGCUUGAAUGAUUAGAAUAAUGUGCUAGAUUCAUGUUUUCAUUUGAUUAUAUCAAUCUCCUAGGAUUGCAUACUUAAAUCUAGAAUAUGUUAUGUAAAGCUUUCUUUAUCUUCUGUAAGUUUAUUAUUUUGCAUGUUUACACCAUUUUUUUAUUUUUUCGGCUCAAUUUAAUUUUUUCUUAUGUCCUUAGCCUUAUCUUUUUGAGUUUUAAUCAUGUUUUUAUCUCUUGUGCAUGUUAAAUCGGCUUUUGGCGAGGGAGGAUUGAGAAAAUUGCAAAACUGAUCAUAACUAAGCCCUAGAGCCGAUUGGCUAUUCGCUAAGCUGAAUCGGCUAUAUGAUGUCAUCAAUCCGCUGCUCAUCCCAAAUUGGCCUAAUUCGCAAUUUUUCGAGCCCUUUUGCUAAUUUUUACCAAUUUUAACUUAUUUUAGUUGCUUUUCUUAAGUUUAUUAGUUGUAUGAAGUGUUGGAAUAGUUAAAUUUAUUACUUUUCUAUUUUGCUUUAUUUUGAUAAUGGCAAAUAAUUGUUAACUAAAAUUGAACAUCUAGACUUGGGCCCUAAAACUUAGA
rnacentral:lncRNA from 1 species